rnacentral:rRNA from 1 species
AACGAACGCUGGCGGCAUGCCUAACACAUGCAAGUCGAACGAGACCUUCGGGCAUAGUGGUGUACGGGUGAGUAACGCGUGGGAACCUGCCAUUAGGUUCGGAACAACUUCACGAAAGGGGUGCAAAAAUCGGAAAAUGACUUCGGACCAAAGAUCUAUCGCAUAUGGAUGGGCCGGCGUUGGAUUAGUUGGUUGGUAGGGUAAAAGCCGAUCUAGGUGACGAUCCAUAGCUGGUCCGAGAGGAUGAGCAGACACCCUGGAACUGAGAUAAGGCACAGACUCUGAAGCGAGGCAGCAGCCCGGAUUAUUGCGGAAUGGGCGAAAGGCUGAUGUAGCCAUGUCGCGUGUAUCAAGAACGCCUUCUGCCUGUAAAGUAAGUGCGGCGUGGAGGAAGUGAGUCAUUUUAACCCCGUUUCUCAUUGACGUUACCGGAAGAAGAAGCCCCGGCUAACUCCGUG